rnacentral:rRNA from 1 species
AUUGAACGCUGGCGGAAUGCUUUACACAUGCAAGUCGAACGGUAGAGGGGGCAACCCCUCGAGAGUGGCGAACGGGUGAGUAAUAUAUCGGAACGUGCCCAGUCGGGGGGGAUAACGUAGCGAAAGUUACGCUAAUACCGCAUACGAUCUAAGGAUGAAAGGGGGGGAUCGCAAGACCUCGCGCGAUUGGAGCGGCCGAUGACAGAGUAGGUAGUUGGUGGGGUAAAGGCUAACCAAGCCAACGAUCUGUAGCUGGUCUGAGAGGACGACCAGCCACACUGGAACUGAGAGACGGUCCAGACUCCUACGGGAGUCAGCAGUGGGGAAUUUUGGACAAUGGACGCAAGGCUGAGCCAGCCAUUCCGCGUGCAGGAUGAAGGCCCUCGGGUUGUAAACUGCUUUUGUACGGAACGAAAAGGUCUCUCUUAAUACGGGGGGCUCAUGACGGUACCGUAAGAAUAAGCACCGGCUAACUACGUGCCAGCCGCCGCAGUAA